rnacentral:rRNA from 1 species
GACGAACGCUGGCGGCGUGCCUAAUACAUGCAAGUAGAACGCACAGUUUAUACCGUAGCUUGCUACACCAUAGACUGUGAGUUGCGAACGGGUGAGUAACGCGUAGGUAACCUGCCUGGUAGCGGGGGAUAACUAUUGGAAACGAUAGCUAAUACCGCAUAAUAUUGAUUAUUGCAUGAUAAUUGAUUGAAAGAUGCUAUUGCAUCACUACCAGAUGGACCUGCGUUGUAUUAGCUAGUAGGUGAGGUAACGGCUCACCUAGGCGACGAUACAUAGCCGACCUGAGAGGGUGAUCGGCCACACUGGGACUGAGACACGGCCCAGACUCCUACGGGAGGCAGCAGUAGGGAAUCUUCGGCAAUGAACGAAAGUCUGACCGAGCAACGCCGCGUGAGUGAAGAAGGUUUUCGGAUCGUAAAGCUCUGUUGUAAGAGAAGAACGGGUGUGAGAGUGGAAAGUUCACACUGUGACGGUAUCUGACCAGAAAGGGACGGCUAACUACGUG